rnacentral:rRNA from 12 species
UAGCGGCGAGCGAAAUGGGAAAAGCCUAAACUUAAACUUAAUGGUUUAAGGGUAGUGGGACAAUUGUGAAUGAUUAAAUAUGACAAUUAGAUAAAUAAGUUGGAAUACUUAACCAAAGAGAGUGAUAGUCUCGUAGUCAAAAAUUGAAAAAAUCAAAUUGAAUCCCAAGUAGCAUGGAGCACGUGAAAUUCCGUGUGAAUCUGCGAGGACCACCUCGUAAGGCUAAAUAUUCCUGAAUGACCGAUAGUGAAACAGUACCGUGAGGGAAAGGUGAAAAGAACCCCGGGAGGGGAGUGAAAAGAACAUGAAAUCAUAAACUUACAACCAGUAGGAGGACGACUAAAACGUCUGACUGCGUGCCUGUUGAAGAAUGAGCCGGCGACUUAUAAGUAGUGGCAGGGUAAGGCAGAGAAUGCCGGAGC